GACGAACGCUGGCGGCGUGCUUAACACAUGCAAGUCGAACGGAAAGGCCCUGCUUUUGUGGGGUGCUCGAGUGGCGAACGGGUGAGUAACACGUGAGUAACCUGCCCUUGACUUUGGGAUAACUUCAGGAAACUGGGGCUAAUACCGGAUAGGAGCUCCUGCUGCGUGUUGGGGGUUGGAAAGUUUCGGCGGUUGGGGAUGGACUCGCGGCCUAUCAGCUUGUUGGUGGGGUAGUGGCUUACCAAGGCGUUGACGGGUAGCCGGCCUGAGAGGGGGACCGGCGACAGGGGGACUGAGAGACGGCCGAGAGUCCUACGGGAGGCAGCGGGGGGGAAUAUUGCACAAGGGGCGGAAGCCUGAUGCAGCGGCGCCGCGUGAGGGAUGACGGCCUUCGGGUGGUAAACCGCUUUCAGCACGGAAGAAGCGAAAGUGACGGUACGUGAAGAAGAAGCGCCGGCUAACUACGUG
rnacentral:rRNA from 1 species